rnacentral:misc_RNA from 1 species
AAGAGUCUAAUGAGGUGCA